GAGGCCUCCGUGGGAAGGCGCCUCUGGACGAGUCUCUGAGCCCGACCGAGCUUCCUGCCUCCAGUGGGGCCGGGCCUCCCUCUCACGGUCUUCCCACUCGGGGCCACGCAGAGGCUGCAGCUCCCAGGCCAGCCCUCGCCCACCGAGUGGCCAGGGCGGGGACAGUGGCCGCGUCUGGCUAUGUAGGGGCCCGGCCACAGUAAGGUGGGUGGGACGGCAAAUGGUAGCGUUGGGGCUUCCAGGGACCGCAGCCUCUGGGUGGGAGAUGGCAAAGGGCGUGUCCAGGCGGAGAGGAAGGGGGCCUGGCGUGCGUGCGUGCGUGUGUGCGCGUGUGUGUGCAUGUGUGUGUGUGGCCGGGCUGGGGGUAUGGAGAGGCGACGGUGGGCUGACGCCCAGGGUGGGGUGGGCAGGCCCAGGGACGUGCCGCCUGCUCGGUGAGCCAAUGGUCAGAUGGGUGAGGUGUCAAGGGAGCAUGUUCCAGACGGCAAGUCCCUCACGUCCUUGGAAUUGAAGACCUUCACACCAGACCCCGCAUGAUGGGGAGGCUGAGACCCUGGAAGGAAGGUGGCAACCCUAGCCACACUGCUGGGAGAGGACCCCUCGGCUCCCACACCCAGAGACCCCUUGAGGAGGGUCCUUGGGUCCCUUGUGGUGCGUACCCUGGGGCCCAACGCACAGUGUUUGUGCUGGGAACACCGAGGAGGGGCCGUGCUGUCCAGGCCUUUACGAUGCCAGGGUUUGCUGAGCACCAGAGUUUGCUAAGCACUGUGCCGGCCUGGGGAUGCUGCCGUGAGCAGGGCGGGAGCUGCCUGCAUGCUGCUUUGGGCAACUCAGCCUCGUCCCCCUCAACUCACGUCUGCGAGUUGGGUUGGCAGCCCCUGGCUCAGUGUCGUGGGAGGAUCACACCCGGGCACUCCCACCUUCCCCGUCAGGGCCUUCAUCCAGGAGCGAUGUCCGUGGUGGCCCCGAAAAGAUACGUCCCGGCCCCUGGCACCUGUGACUGUGACCUUAUUUGGAGAAAAGGGUCUUUGCAGAUGUAAUCAAGGGAUCGCAAGAUGCGAUCCUCUUGGAAUCUCCGCGUGGGCCCUAAAUCCAGGGACAGGUGUCCUUACAAGACACAGAAGAGGAGAGGACAUGGAGAUGAGGAGGAGCAGGUCGUGUGAAGAUGAGGCAGAGACGGGAGUGGUGCAGCCGCCACCAGGCUGUGGGCGUCCACCCCUGAGAAGCCGCAGACGAGCUGAUCCUUGUCGUGCUGACUUCUGCUCAUCGUGUCCUGGACAACCUCGGGGCUGGGUUUCCUCUUCUCGGUGGCUUGGCCCCCAGGCCCGGCCUGGGUCGCUGCUCUGCCUUCCUCAUGGACCAGCGUGUCUGACGUUCUCCCCCCACAAGAUUCCUGCGUGGCUUUCGGUCGGUUGAAAGUCACUCAAAUAGGCUUCCUGAAUAACAGAGUCGGGCAGCUCGCUAGAUGCUCAUUUUUUGCAUUCAUUGAAUUUUCUAACAACCUUCCGGAAACGUCCUUUCCUUGCAGAAUUCAAAGGCAUUUGCAAAGCAUUAAAGAAACAUGCUCCCUGGACGCCCCCUGCUCGUUCUGCUGACCCCGCUUCCUUAAGACAAGUAUCCCCCCCGCCCCAAGCAGCCCCUGCUCUGCCUGCCCCUCUGCCUUGGCCCCGCCUCCCCGGUCUUCUCUCCUUCUGGGGCUCCGCAGCUUCCAGGGGACAAUUCCAAAUGGCAGAUCUCAGCCCUCACCUUGGGCUUAGAACUUUCCAUGGCUCCUCAGGAUAAACGUCUAACAGAAAAAUCCCAACGCCUAUCCCCAGGGUGGCUCCGAGGACGUCCCUGGGCCCAGCAUCGCCGUCCCUUUUCUGUGUCUGUG
rnacentral:lncRNA from 1 species